CGGGCUAAACCCGCGUACAUGCCACCGGGGCAUCCCGGAGGCAGGAAAGGCUUCGGCCGGACAGGGAUGGGCAUGCGGCGCAUUAGGCAGUAGGCGGGGUAACGGCCCACCUAACCGACGAUGCGUAGGGGUUCUGAGAGGAAGGUCCCCCACACUGGUACUGAGACACGGACCAGACUCCUACGGGAGGCAGCAGUGAGGAAUAUUGGUCAAUGGUCGGGAGACUGAACCAGCCAAGCCGCGUGAGGGAUGAAGGUACAGAGUAUCGUAAACCUCUUUUGUCAGGGAACAAAGGCGGGGACGUGUCCCCGGAUGAGUGUACCUGAAGAAAAAGCAUCGGCUAACUCCGUGCCAGCAGCCGCGGUAAUACGGAGGAUGCGAGCGUUAUCCGGAUUUAUUGGGUUUAAAGGGUGCGCAGGCGGUCUGUUAAGUCAGCGGUCAAAGCCCGGGGCUCAACCCCGGCCCGCCGUUGAAACUGGCAGUCUCGAGUUGGAGAGAAGUGUGCGGAAUGCGCGGUGUAGCGGUGAAAUGCAUAGAUAUCGCGCAGAACUCCGAUUGCGAAGGCAGCAUGCCGGCUCCACACUGACGCUGAGGCACGAAAGCGUGGGUAUCGAACAGGAUUAGAUACCCUGGUAGUCCACGCAGUAAACGA
rnacentral:rRNA from 1 species